UACACGUGCACUCAGCACAUCCCCUGAAAAC
rnacentral:piRNA from 1 species